CUACGGCCCUAUUUCGGCAACCCGAAAACCCGAGCUCAGAACAUUAUUCCUCGACCCAUAAACCCCAAAACUUUAUUCACAAUUGCCGAAAAUACCCUUCCUCCUCCAUUAACCACACUGUCAACGGAGACGGACAAGGUUCUGAGAGUAAGGCAAGGUCAUGGAGUUCGAGAAGAGAAAGGCCAUAGCCCUUGCAGAAAUGUCCUCAGAAGAGAGCGAUAAAUCACCCAAGGGCACGUUAGAUGCACCCAUAAUCCCUCUCCUUAAAAUCCUUAACCUACACCCUUCCUACUUCACCACCAGCUCCUGCUCCGGCCGCAUUUCCAUCCUCUCCCAACCGUCACCUUCUCAACUCCUAUCUAGCAAUACAAAGAAGAAGAAAGCUGGUGGAGGAUCCUGGCUCUUCAUCACCCACGAUCUGGCCCACCCUGACUCCGUCAUCGACGUCCUUUUCCACAACCCAUCGUCGCAGCCGUACGCUGCUGGGACUUUGGUUUUCAGGUUCGAGCCUUUCAUUCUCGCCGUUGAUUGCAAGGAAGUAGCGUCUGCGCAGGCACUGGUCUCCUCUGCGAUCUCCUGUGGGUUCCGAGAAUCCGGUAUAACAAGCAUACACAAACGCAUUAUGGUCGCCAUACGCUGCUCCAUACGCUUGGAGGUGCCCUUGGGACAGAUUAGUCAAUUGAUGGUUUCACCUGAGUAUGUUCGCUACCUUGUUGGGAUUGCCAAUGAGAAAAUGAUGGCCAAUAGGAGAAGAACUGAUGGUUUUCUUCAAGUUUUGCAAUUCAUGGUUUCCCCAGGAACAACAGCAGUGAAGAUUGAUAGUCAUCAUAGACAGCAAGGCUGUUUGGAUGCCAACCAAGGAAGUGUAUCAGUUCUGGAAGAGAAACAGCAAGAUUUAUUAUCAAAGGUAGCACCGCCUGAGAAGGAUACUUCAAUGUGUACAGGUGUGUAUUCUAGACAUAGUAAGAAAGAUAUUUAUGACAACCAUGAAGAACGUCAAAGUACUGAGUCUGCUGGACUUUGUACUGGAGAUAAAGGGACCAACACUUCUUGCAAGAAUUCAACUAAAGAUGCAUGCCCAUCCCACCAAUUGUCAGUUGAUGAUCUCCAUUUGGAGAGAACAAACUCAGAUUUAGGGUUAUCACAAGCUCCAGGGUUAUGUCUUUUUGCUGUCAAGAUGACGAUUAUUGGAGAACCAGUCGAGAAGCUCUUUCUCUGGGGCCAAACAGCUUCUAAGUUUAGCAUUACACACUGCAAACAAAUUCUCGUGUUUGGUGGUUUUGGAGGCUUAGGAAGACAUUCACGAAGAAAUGAUUCUCUGAUGCUUGAUCCUCAAUCCGGAACAUUAAAGAUGAUUAAUGCUGAUGGACCUCCAUCUCCACGCUUGGGUCAUACAUUUUCAGUGAUUGGGGAACAGGUUUUUGUAAUUGGAGGCAGGGGUGAUCCUACCCAAAUUCUGAAUGAUGUUUGGGUUCUGAAUUUAUCUGAGAAUAGAUGGAAGCUAUUAGAAUGUACUGGCAGCGUUUUCCAUCCUAGACACCGGCAUGCAGCUGGAGUUGCGGGCUCAAAAAUAUAUGUAUACGGAGGACUUAACAAUGACAUGAUCUAUUCCUGCAUGCAUAUCUUUGACACCAAAAGCUUAUGUUGGAGUGAGGUACACAUCCAAGGUGACUGGCCAUGCCCCCGGCAUUCACAUUCUUUGGUGGCAGACGAGUCACAAUUAUUUAUGUUUGGUGGGUACGAUGGUCAGAAAGCACUUGGAGACCUUUACAGUUUUGAUGUUGGUACGUGUAUUUGGAAGAAGGAGAAGACAAUAGGGAAAGCCCCCUUUGCAAGAUUUUCACAUUCUAUGUUCAUUUACAAAUAUUAUCUGGGCAUUGUUGGUGGGUGCCCCGUCCAACAGCAGUUUCAAGAGGUGGCUUUACUUGAUCUGCGAAACCAUGUCUGGAAGCAUGUGAGGGUUGACUCUAUAAGCAAGGAGCUUUUGGUUCGUAGCACAAGCAUUGUUGUAGACGAUGAUCUUGUUAUUGUUGGUGGUGGGGUAUCAUGUUAUGCAUUUGGUACAAAGUUUAAUGAGCCAAUUAAAAUAGACUUGUGCCCGUUAAUAUAUUCAGAUAGUAUCCCUUCUGGCAUGGAAGAUGCACCCAUUAUAAAACAUAAAGAGGUAAUGGAGGAUUUGUUCUCAACAUCUAAUGGGGGAGAAUUUCUGUCCAUUGAUAAUGAAAAAACCACACCUGAAACUGCAAACUUGAAUCAUAGGGUUGAUAAAUAUGAUAGAAGUGAUGGGCUCCAUGUGGAUGCUAAAAACUGGGUUCUACAGCUUGAACGGAAAUAUGCCAAACAAGGAAAGGACAUACUAAAAGAACUUGGAUGGUUAGAUUGUGGGAGGAAGGUUUAUUCCAGUCAGGAUGGGCGUAACAUUUGUUUACCGAUUACUGAAAAAUCAUACGCCUUCUUUCAGGAAAAAUCUUAUCAUUCAGUAGAUGUAUUUGAUAGUUUGGAUGGCUCUCAUGCAUCGGGACCUUUUGCAGGGAAGGGGGUUCUGUUGAAUGAGGUUUCUCUCACAAUGGCAUUAAGUCUUUUGUCGGUAUGUGGUGGUUCUAUACUUUAUGAUGAUGUUGCUUGUGUCAGAAAGGCUCCCAAUGCUCCCCAAAAGGUGCUGAAGGAAGCAGUAUGCUCUUUGAUUAAGCGGAAAGGCUUAUCGCUACAGCUGUUAGAGCAGUUGCCCACUAGGUGGGAGCGACUUGGCGAUAUUGUGGUGCUUCCAGUGUCAUCAUUUAAGGAUCCAAUUUGGGACUCGGUUGGUGAGGAGCUUUGGCCUACGGUCGCCAAAUCGCUUGGUGCCCAUCGGCUUGCACGUCAGGGUAGAAUUGUGCCGAAUGGCACAAGAGAUAGCACAUUGGAGAUCCUUGUGGGAGACAAUGGCUGGGUCAAUCAUCACGAAAAUGGAAUUCUCUAUUCUUUUGAUGCAACAAAAUGCAUGUUUUCCUGGGGAAAUCUUUCAGAAAAGCUUCGAAUGGCUCGCCUGGACUGUAGGGAUGAAGUUGUUGUUGACUUGUUUGCUGGAAUUGGAUAUUUUGUGCUGCCCUUUCUUGUCAAGUCUAAGGCAAAACUGGUUUAUGCUUGCGAGUGGAAUCCCCAUGCUAUAGAGGCACUUCGGCAUAAUGUUCAAGCCAAUUUGGUGGCAGAUAGGUGUGUCAUACUCGAAGGGGAUAACAAAGUUACAGCACCAAAAGGAGUUGCAGAUCGUGUAUGCCUUGGUCUUCUGCCAACAAGUGAGAGUAGCUGGCUUACAGCUGUUAGGGCAUUGAGGCCAGAGGGUGGCAUAUUGCAUGUGCAUGGAAAUGUAAAAGAUUCAGAGGAGGAUUUGUGGUUAGAACAUGUAUCUACAUCAAUAGGCAGCAUUGCUAAAUCUGAAGGUUAUGGCUGGGAUGUUUUAAUAGAACACUUGGAGCGAGUGAAAUGGUACGGGCCACACAUCCGCCAUCUUGUUGCUGAUGUAAGAUGCAAACAGCUUGUGUAGCAAUUGAAACAGGCCAUCAGUACCUACUCAACUUUUCUUAAAUAUGAAAAAGAGCCUGUUUGGAUUGCAAAUUGCAUCAGUAAUGUACUGUAAAAGUGCAAUGAUUACAAAUAACAAUACCUGUCUCCUGAAAACAGGUUGAGCAGUGAGGAAAUGAAUCUUUAGGUUGUGGAGAAGGCAUGCAAUGCUUAUGGCCCACCUAAUACCUGGUGUACCAACUAUACAAUCUAGCCAUCAACUCUCUCCUUUUCAUUCACAUCAACAAGCAGGCCCCAUAGGUCCAAAAGACCAAAAGGAAUGGAAGUGAAUGACAGAAAAUUAAGGUGUGGGAUUGAUUAGCAAAUGACGGCAAUUCUAUACAGGACCAUUGAGCAGCAACAGCCACAGGCCCACAGCUACCCACCAAUGCCUGCAAAUUGCAAACAGGUUAGGAGAUUUCAGCUGCUUCUGUAUGCUUAGUUGAACUGUGCUGUGAUAAUUGAUUAAAUAUAAGGGGGAUAUGAUGGAAAUGGAGGUGAGAUCAUUUUAAGUUCAUAAUGAUGGCUGCUGGGACCGCCCAGCAGCCCCUAAAUGCAAUUGAAUUCAAUUUCAAGUUGGAGUUGACAGGAUAGAAGUUGAAAGUUGGUCAUUUACCCUAUUGAACUAAAUCAUCACAACUGGAUUCAAUUGGACAUCGAAAAGCCACCUUUGCCUA